UACAGAGGGUGCGAGCGUUAAUCGGAAUUACUGGGCGUAAAGGGCGCGUAGGCGGAUAAUUAAGUUAGAUGUGAAAUCCCUGGGCUUAACCUAGGAACUGCAUCUAAUACUGGUUGACUGGAGUGCGGUAGAGGAUAGUGGAAUUUCCGGUGUAGCGGUGAAAUGCGUAGAUAUCGGAAGGAACACCAGUGGCGAAGGCGGCUAUCUGGACUGACACUGACGCUGAGGCGCGAGAGCGUGGGGAGCAAACAGG
rnacentral:rRNA from 1 species